rnacentral:piRNA from 1 species
UAAUCACAGAGGAUUAUAAGGCAUGUUGC